rnacentral:rRNA from 1 species
GACGAACGCUGGCGGCGUGCUUAACACAUGCAAGUCGAACGGAAAGGGCCUGCUUUUGUGGGGUGCUCGAGUGGCGAACGGGUGAGUAACACGUGAGUAACCUGCCCUUUACUUUGGGAUAACUUCAGGAAACUGGGGCUAAUACCGGAUAGGAGCUCCUGCUGCAUGGUGGGGGUUGGAAAGUUUCGGCUGUUGGGGAUGGACUGGGGGCUUAUCAGCUUGUUGGUUGGGGAGUGGCUUACCAAGGCUUUGGCGGGUAGCCGGCCUGAGAGGGUGGACGGCGUCCUGGGGCCUACGGUAGGCAGCAGACUCGAACAGGAGGCAGCGGGGGGAAGUCUGGUCCAGCGGGGGGAAGUGUGUUGAGAAGGCGCUGGGAGCGGAAAGCCGGUCUAGGGGUUGUGAACGGCUGUAGCCUGAGACGUAGCGGGAGUGACGGUACUGGGUAAAGAAGCACCGGCUAACUACGUG